rnacentral:rRNA from 1 species
UACGAAGGGGGCUAGCGUUGCUCGGAAUGACUGGGCGUAAAGGGCGCGUAGGCGGAUGGUACAGUCAGAUGUGAAAUUCCCGGGCUUAACCUGGGGGCUGCAUUUGAUACGUGUUGUCUAGAGUGAGGAAGAGGGUCGUGGAAUUCCCAGUGUAGAGGUGAAAUUCGUAGAUAUUGGGAAGAACACCAGUGGCGAAGGCGACUGACUGGACAAGUAUUGACGCUGAGGUGCGAAAGCGUGGGGAGCAAGCAGG